rnacentral:rRNA from 1 species
UACGUAGGGUGCGAGCGUUGUCCGGAAUUACUGGGCGUAAAGAGCUCGUAGGUGGUUUGUCGCGUUGUUCGUGAAAACUCACAACUCAAUUGUGGGGCGUGCGGGCGAUACGGGCAGACUGGAGUACUGCAGGGGAGACUGGAAUUCCUGGUGUAGCGGUGGAAUGCGCAGAUAUCAGGAGGAACACCGGUGGCGAAGGCGGGUCGCUGGGCAGUACUGACGCUGAGGAGCGAAAGCGUGGGGAGCGAACAGG